UGAUUUCAACAAUGAAGCGAGUGGCGAACUGGUGAGUAACACGUGGGGAAUCUGCCCAGAAGCAGGGGAUAACACUUGGAAACAGGUGCUAAUACCGUAUAACAACAAAAUCCGCAUGGAUUUUGUUUGAAAGGUGGCUUCGGCUAUCACUUCUGGAUGAUCCCGCGGCGUAUUAGUUAGUUGGUGAGGUAAAGGCCCACCAAGACGAUGAUACGUAGCCGACCUGAGAGGGUAAUCGGCCACAUUGGGACUGAGACACGGCCCAAACUCCUACGGGAGGCAGCAGUAGGGAAUCUUCCACAAUGGACGAAAGUCUGAUGGAGCAAUGCCGCGUGAGUGAAGAAGGGUUUCGGCUCGUAAAACUCUGUUGUUAAAGAAGAACACCUUUGAGAGUAACUGUUCAAGGGUUGACGGUAUUUAACCAGAAAGCCACGGCUAACUACGUGCCAGCAGCCGCGGUAAUACGUAGGUGGCAAGCGUUGUCCGGAUUUAUUGGGCGUAAAGCGAGCGCAGGCGGUUUUUUAAGUCUGAUGUGAAAGCCUUCGGCUUAACCGGAGAAGUGCAUCGGAAACUGGGAGACUUGAGUGCAGAAGAGGACAGUGGAACUCCAUGUGUAGCGGUGGAAUGCGUAGAUAUAUGGAAGAACACCAGUGGCGAAGGCGGCUGUCUAGUCUGUAACUGACGCUGAGGCUCGAAAGCAUGGGUAGCGAACAGGAUUAGAUACCCUGGUAGUCCAUGCCGUAAACGAUGAGUGCUAAGUGUUGGAGGGUUUCCGCCCUUCAGUGCUGCAGCUAACGCAUUAAGCACUCCGCCUGGGGAGUACGACCGCAAGGUUGAAACUCAAAGGAAUUGACGGGGGCCCGCACAAGCGGUGGAGCAUGUGGUUUAAUUCGAAGCUACGCGAAGAACCUUACCAGGUCUUGACAUCUUCUGCCAAUCUUAGAGAUAAGACGUUCCCUUCGGGGACAGAAUGACAGGUGGUGCAUGGUUGUCGUCAGCUCGUGUCGUGAGAUGUUGGGUUAAGUCCCGCAACGAGCGCA
rnacentral:rRNA from 1 species